rnacentral:rRNA from 1 species
UACGUAGGGGGGCAAGCGUUUGUCCGGAAUUAUUGGGCGUAAAGAGCGUGUAGGCGGUCCGGUAAGUCAGCUGUGAAAGUCAAGGGCUCAACCCUUGAAUGCCGGUUGAUACUGUCGGGCUAGAGUCCGGAAGAGGCGAGUGGAAUUCCCGGUGUAGCGGUGAAAUGCGCAGAUAUCGGGAGGAACACCAAUGGCGAAGGCAGCUCGCUGGGACGUUACUGACGCUGAGACGCGAAAGCGUGGGGAGCAAACAGG